GGUGGUAUAGCUCUGUGGCAGAGCGUGAGCUUGGCGUGAAGGAAGUCCUGGGUUCAAUCUCCAGUACCUCCG
rnacentral:tRNA from 1 species